rfam:Drosophila mojavensis strain TSC#15081-1352.22 Ctg01_8565, whole genome shotgun sequence.
GCAGCAUUGAUUAAUCUCAAUUUGUAAAUGUGAGCGAUUUUUAACUAUUUGACGCACUCACUUUGCAAUUGGAGAUUGCUCGAGACUGC